CGUAGGAGGCAAACGUUAUCCGGAUUUACUGGGCGUAAAGCGCGUGUAGGUGGUUCUGUAAGUAGGGCGUGAAAGCUCCUGGCUCAACUGGGAGAGGCCGUUCUAAACUGCAGAGCUAGAGGAUGGUAGAGGGAGGUGGAAUUCCGGGUGUAGCGGUGGAAUGCGCAGAUAUCCGGAGGAACACCAGUGGCGAAAGCGGCCUCCUGGACCAUUCCUGACACUCAGACGCGAAAGCUAGGGUAGCAAACGGGAUUAGAGACCCCGGUAGUCCUAGCCCUAAACGAUGUAGACUUGGCGUCGGUGGCUUAAUCGUCAUCGGUGUCGUAGCUAACGCGAUAAGUCUACCGCCUGGGGACUACGGCCGCAAGGUUAAAACUCAAAGGAAUUGACGGGUCCCCGCACAAGCAGCGGAGCGUGUGGUUUAAUUCGUUGCUACACGAAGAACCUUACCUGGGUUUGACAUAGCAGUGGUAGGAAUACGAAAGUGGACCGACCCUUCGGGGAGCUGUUACAGGUGUUGCAUGGCUGUCGUCAGCUCGUGUCGUGAGAUGUUCGGUUAAGUCCGCUAACGAGCGCAACCCUUGCCGUGUGUUACAAGUGUCACACGGGACCGCCGGUAUUAAGUCGGAGGAAGGUGAGGAUGACGUCAAGUCAGCAUGACCUUUAUAUCCAGGGCUACACACACGCUACAAUGGUCAGUACAAUAGGUUGCCAAGCCGCGAGGCGGAGCCAAUCCUAAAAAGCUGGCCUCAGUUCAGAUUGCAGGCUGCAACUCGCCUGCAUGAAGUUGGAGUUGCUAGUAACCGCAGGUCAGCUAUACUGCGGUGAAUACGUUCCCGGGGAUU
rnacentral:rRNA from 1 species